rnacentral:rRNA from 1 species
CGCGGCCUAUCAGCUUGUUGGUGGGGUGAUGGCCUACCAAGGCGACGACGGGUAGCCGGCCUGAGAGGGUGACCGGCCACACUGGGACUGAGACACGGCCCAGACUCCUACGGGAGGCAGCAGUGGGGAAUAUUGCACAAUGGGCGGAAGCCUGAUGCAGCGACGCCGCGUGAGGGAUGACGGCCUUCGGGUUGUAAACCUCUUUCAGUAGGGAAGAAGCCUUUCGGGGUGACGGUACCUGCAGGAGAAGCGCCGGCUAACUACGUGCCAGCAGCCGCGGUAAUACGUAGGGUGCGAGCGUUGUCCGGAAUUACUGGGCGUAAAGAGCUCGUAGGUGGUUUGUCGCGUCGUCUGUGAAAGUCCAGCGCUUAACGCUGGGAUUGCAGGCGAUACGGGCUUACUUGAGUGCUGUAGGGGAGACUGGAAUUCCUGGUGUAGCGGUGAAAUGCGCAGAUAUCAGGAGGAACACCAAUGGCGAAGGCAGGUCUCUGGGCAGUCACUGACACUGAGGAGCGAAAGCAUGGGUAGCCAACAGGAUUAGAUACCCUGGUAGUCCAUGCCGUAAACGGUGGGCGCUAGGUGUGGGGACCUUCCACGGUUCCUGCGCCGUAGCUAACGCAUUAAGCGCCCCGCCUGGGGAGUACGG